GGGGAUUUAGCUCAGUGGUGUAAGUGCCUGCCUUGCAAGCACACAGUCCUGAGUUCAAUCCCCAGUCCCCA
rfam:Cavia porcellus supercont2_114 genomic scaffold, whole genome shotgun sequence.